rnacentral:lncRNA from 1 species
GCACCAUCUUACAUUUAAACACUUCAACUGAGACUUGUAUCGUUUAAACACCUGUAGUAGGGCCGUUGUGGCAUUUUGACCCCGAACCAAAACAUACCACGGUGAACAUGGAAGCACAACAAUAAGACACGAAUAACACUAGGUAGACCCUAUCGACAGACACCUAAAGUUGGCACCAUCUUCCACUAAGACACUUUAAUCGAGACUUGUAUCGUUUAAACACCUAUAGUAGGACCGUCAUGAAGAACAUGGAAGCACGACAAUAAGACACGAAUAACGCUAGGUUGAACAUAUCGACAGACACCUAAAGUUGACACCAUAUUCCACUUAGACGCUUCAACUCAGACUUGUACUGUUUAAACACCUGUAGUAGGGCCGUUGUGGCAUUUUGACCUCGAACCAAAACAUACCACGGUGAACAUGGAAGCACAACAAUAAGACACGAAUAACACUAGGUAGACCCUAUCGACAGACACCUAAAGUUGGCACCAUCUUCCACUAAGACACUUUCAUCGAGACUUGUAUCGUUUAAACACACCUAUAGUAGGACCGUCAUGGUGAACAUGGAAGCACGACAAUAAGACACAAAUAACGCUAGGUUGAACCUAUCGAUAGACACCU